rnacentral:misc_RNA from 1 species
AAGGUCAUUUGCAUCAAUUGACCAAUUCUCAACUUUUUCUCCAAUUUUUCAAAAUGCUAAAAACCCUAGUUACACAUUUGUGUAAUUCAAUGCAAUCAAACACAUCAAAAUCAUUCAUUUAAAGCCUAACAUAAGCUAGCCGAAAUUUCUUUUGGUCCCCCAACAAUUGUUUUCUUUUGAUUUUAAGUUAAUUUCUAAGUUACUUACACCAAGAACACAAAUAAUAAACUUGAAUUUUCAAUUUAACUCACUAACCUUUCUUUGAUGUUCAACUCUUCAAUUUCCCUCCUUGUUUCUUCUUUCUUUCUUGCCCAAUCACCUUCUCAAGUGAGUUUAUAAAGUUUUAAUGGAUUAAUUUGGGGUCAAAGUAGGUUUUAGUGGUUGGAAUCAAGCUUGGAUUCAAGCUUUCAUGGUGGUUCUUCAAUGGUGGAAAGAGAGAGAGAGAGGAAGGGCGGCCAACUAGGGAAGAAGAAGAGUGAUUUUUUUCUUUUCUUUUUUGUUAUUUUAUAUGUAAUUAACUUUAAUUAACUUGGUCAAAGAUUGUGGGAAAAUUAAAUUGGAUUUUGACAUCACCCAUGAUGUCAUCCAAGUGAUAUAAGCAUGAUGUAAUAAACUUUUUCAAUUUUCUUUUUCUUUUGCAUUUAUUU